AACGAACGCUGGCGGCAUGCCUAACACAUGUAAGUCGAACGAGACCUUCGGGUCUAGUGGCGCACGGGUGCGUAACGCGUGGGAACCUGCCCUUAGGUUCGGAAUAACUCCCCGAAAGGGGUGCUAAUACCGGAUAAUGUCUUCGGACCAAAGAUUUAUCGCCUUUGGAUGGGCCCGCGUUGGAUUAGCUAGUUGGUAGGGUAAAAGCCUACCAAGGCGACGAUCCAUAGCUGGUCUGAGAGGAUGAUCAGCCACACUGGGACUGAGACACGGCCCAGACUCCUACGGGAGGCAGCAGUGGGGAAUAUUGGAUAAUGGGCGAAAGCCUGAUCCAGCAAUGCCGCGUGAGUGAUGAAGGCCUUAGGGUUGUAAAGCUCUUUUACCCGGGAUGAUAAUGACAGUACCGGGAGAAUAAGCUCCGGCUAACUCCGUG
rnacentral:rRNA from 1 species